GUCCUGAUGGCUCAGUGUGUUGGAGUAUGGUUCUGACAACACAAAGGUUGUGGGUUCAAAUCCUGCUUGGGCUA
rnacentral:tRNA from 1 species